AGGCCGCACCUGUAGCAUAUGGAAAUUCCUGGGCUAGGGGUCAAAUCAGGACUGCAGGCCUACGCCACAGCCACAGCAGUGCCAGAUCUGAGCCACAUCUGUGACCUACACCAAAGCUUAUGGCAACACCCAAUCCUUAACCCACUGAGCAAGGCCAGGGAUUGAACCCUCAUCCUCAUGGAUAUUAGUCAGGUUCUUUUCCACUGAGCGACAACAGGAACUCCUGGACAUUUCUUUUUAGGUCCUUAGAAAUUGAAGUAAGCCUAGAGUUGAUCAGAAAAACUUUCUGAAGCACCUUUCCCUGUGAUCAUUCAGCCUCUACUUGAGCACGACCCUUAAAUAAAUAACAAGAACCUAUGUGUAGCAGAGGAAAAUCUGCUCGAUAGUUUGUAAUAACGUAAACGGAAAAAAGAAUGGAUAUAUGUACGACUGAUUCACUUUGCUGUACACCUGAAACUAAUACAACAUCUAGCUCAUCCCCCUGGUUGAUAGACAGGACGUCAAAACCUUGUUUUAUUCAUUGCUCUAUGUUCAGUACCUAGAACACUACCUGGCACAUAGUAGGUAUGCAACAGGUAUUUAUUGAGAAAAUAAAUUAUGAAUUUGCAUCUUUACACUGUUUUAGAAAGUGUGUUGUUAGCUAUUUACAGUGCAGCAUCCAUAGUGGAGAAAUGCCUACAGUAAUUGAAAUAGGUGGUGGGCAGAGCCAAGACAAUAACCCAAAUCUCAGCCCAGAGCGCUCCAUUAUGCUGCACUGACAGGUGGAGGUGAUGAAACAAAUAGAAACCGUGCCCAAAGCAGCCACGUCUCACAUGAUCCCCUCUGUGUGAGGAGCCAGGCUGAAUGAUGCUGGUGGCUUCCUGCCCUCCGCAUGGGCUCCUGCACAUGGGCCCCAUUGUAGCCUCACAUGUCAACAUCCACAAGCUGCUCUCCACCUCUCCAGAUACUUUAAUUCCUCUAGUCAGGUUUCCCCAGAGGAACUGUUUCUCCGGAAUCUGUUUACUUCAUUUUUAUAAUACAAGCUCUACGUAAUAAAACAAUGUACAGUGUUUUUGUUUUUUUGUCUUUUUAGGGCCACAUCUGUGACAUAUGGAGGUUCCCAGGCUAGGGGUCGAACUGGAACUACAGCUGCCAGCCUAAACCACAGCUACAGCAAUGUGGGAUCCGAGCCGCGUCUGCGACCUACACCACAGCUCACGGCGAUGCUGGAUCCUUAACCCACUGAGCGAGGCCAGAGAUGGAACCCUUAACCUCAUGGUUACUAGUCAGGUUCGUUAACCACUGGGCCACGACAGGAACUCCCAAUGUACAGUUUAAUACCAGCAACAAGAGAAGCUGUUUACUUCCAAGUAUCUUUUAUUCACUCAGCAGACAUUUUCUGAACACUUACUGUGUGUCUAGUAUCUGCUAGAUGCUGAGGAUAUGCUGUCAAACAAGAUACAGUCACCAGCCUCAAGGUUAUAAAUAUAUUAAGAGAUGCAAAGGGGUAAUUUUCAGUAUUAAAAGUCUCUGAUAACAGGAAACAUAAGAUGCUAUAAAACCAGGGACAGUUAUUCCGGCUGAGAAGGGGUCAGAGAAGACUUCCUAGAAGGAUGGUAUUUAGGCUGAGACCGGAAGGACACGGUAGGGUGGGAACGAAGGACUUUUUAGGUGGAUGGAACAAAAUAUGCACAGGCCCAGGAGUGAGGAAAGGCAUCUUGCUUCUGUGGGACUGCAGAUGCUCUGCAUGCCUGGUUCAGAAAGUAUAAGGGCAAGAGAUGAGACAGGAUUGGACCUGAUGGGUUUUGCUAAGGAAUUUGAACUUCAACUAGAGAACAGUGGGGAGCCAUUAAAGGGUUUGAAGCAGGGGAAUGACAAGAUCUAUUUUCGGAAAUUUUAGUUGGAAGGAAUAGUGGCAAAUCACUGGCAGUAAGAUCCAGAUCCUUUUGAAGGGUAUGGUGGAAACCCAGGUGAGACAUGGCUGCAACCAGAUGUGGAGACAAGAGGACAGAUUUUAUCUGAGGGUUACUCAAGAAGUAGCAUAUUUAGGACCUGGUGACCCGUCAAACUUGGAGAACUCAGCGAGGACACCCAGGUUUCUUGUGUCAGUAGCUGGUGGACUGGUGGUACUAUUCACUGAGACAGGGGUACAGGAGAAGAGCAGGCUCCAGAUGUCCAAAAGGCAGGUGACUCUAUGGUCUACAGCUCAGAGAGAGAGAGCUGGGCUGGACUAAGAUUUGAGACUCACCAGCCCAGAGCUUUGCCACCAAAGGUGGGCAUGGAUGGUAUUGCCCAGGGAGAGAGCCCAUGGAGUGAGACGAGAAUUGGAACCCUAGCAUCUAAGGGACAAUAGAGGAGGAGCCCAGGAAAGCAACAGGCAGGAAGUGACCAGAGAGAGAAAAGGAGGAGUGUGGCAUCAUGGAAACCAAGGGGAAAGGACAUUUUGAGAAGGAGGCAGCUGCAAACAGCAGUAUCUGGUGCAGCCAAGCGGUUAACUGAGAGGGAUGGAGAAGACCUUUGGAUUUUAGCAAGGAGCUUGUUGCCAACUUUAUCUCAAGAGCAGCCACCUUAGUGGCACAGGGGAGGCAGAGCCAGACUGCUGAAGAGGAGGCAAAAACGGGGGACAGCUAAAGGAGGACACACAGUGGAGACAUUUGUUUCGGGGAGAGGUCAAAGAGAAAGGAUGUAUAAUUGAGUGUGUAAGGUCCCUGAGGAAGUGGGAGGGAUGGGAUCCAGAGCCCAGGUGGAGUGAGUACUCUUAGAGGGACAGAGGGGGAAAGGAUGGUGCUGAUGUGGGUAAAUGAACAGGUGAGGUGGCAGGAAGUUGAGGGAGUUCCCAUCAGAUGGCUUCGAUUUUCUCUGUACUGGAGGAGGCAGGUUGGGCCUAUAGAAGGGGCAGGAGGAAGUAGGGACCAAGGGCUUGGGAAUGGUCCCCGUGAAGAAUGGGAGAGAGCUGACCAGGGUCAGAGCAAUGCCAAGCUCAUUCAGAGGUCACUUGCCAAGCCCUUGAACUUGCAACGGCACUAAACUUGGGGGAUGUAUACCAGCAGCUCCUAGCAGCCUGGCAGUAGGAAUGGAAAAAAUGAAUAGUCGGUGGUUACAGUUUUACAUGGUAAGGGCCAGAGGAUAAGCAAAUUGUUGGUCUAGGGCUAGUGAGGGAAGGAAGUGAAAAUGAGAAGAGGUUACCAGAGAGAAAUUAAAGGGUCAGACAUUUUGUUGAGGGCCUACUAUGUCUCUGACCUGGAGUUCCUGUCGUGGCUCAGUGGUUAACAAAUCCAACUAGGAACCACGAGGUUGCGGGUUCGAUCCCUGGCCUUGCUCAGUGGGUUAAGGAUCUGGCAUUGCCGUGAGCUGUGGUGUAGGUUGCAGACGUGGCUUGGAUCCCACGUUGCUGUGGCUCUGGCGUAGGCUGGUGGCUACAGCUCCGAUUCGACCCCUAGCCUAAGAACCUCCAUAUGCUGCGGGAGCAGCUCUAGAAAAGGCAAAAAGACAAAAAAACAAAAACAACUCAGACUCCUUGGCCUCAUUCCUGGGGUCCAAGGGGUCUGUGAUUGGGGGUCAUGUGACUCUCUUGCAGCCAGGUUUGGAAACCAUUUUGGCCAAUGGAAAAAGCAGACAAGUAAACAGACAUAUGGAAUAUACACAGUGUCCUAACUCUGUGACUCUGGUCUAUAAGAGGUGCUGUGGAAGCCACGAGGGCCUGGAGGUGGGAAAGGAGAGACAACAAGGAAAUUUUCCUAGAGAAGGUGAGCCUGGGCCUGAAUGUGACUGGUCAAUCCUAGUUAGAGGGGAAGACGCCAAAGCAGCAUUCCAAGUACAGGGAACAGCACGUGCAUAGGCAGGGCCGCAUUCGUGGAACUCCAAGUCAUUUGGUGUGACUGGAGCUGAGCGUGUAAACAGGGGAGGGGCAUGAUCUCUCAGAAGCAAGCAAGAAGCAGAAUGUUUUGAGCCUCAUUCACCGUGCCCCACUUUCCAUCAAAAGAGCAUUUCUCUGACGUGGCCAGGGUACACCUAAGAAAGAGGCCAAGAAUCCUGACUUUCACAAUAAAUAACUUAGGAAGCAGGCUUCUCGGGGCCUGGAAGGCUUAGGCCUUAGGCGAGCAUGAUGCCUCAGAGGUGAUCUUCACAGGCCACUAGGUGGUGGACAGUAUUUUUGCUCUGGUUAGAAACUAAGCAUUUACAGAUUUGUCCUUAUUUACUUACUUUUAGGGAAAGGCAGAUGUUCUAAGCUCAGAAUUAUUGAAGGAGCCACCCUUCUGGGCUUAGAGCCAAACCAGGAUAAGAGACAGCCUGAAGGGAUCAAAUUUAAAGUAUAUGGACAUUGUGGAGAGAUGUUUUUUUUUCCCCCAAAUGGUUUCUCCUUCCUUCCCUGGCCCUGAAGGCCUGAAGUACACUCCCACGCUCUCUCCCCCUCCAUCUUCUCAGAAAUCUCCAGACAUAUAUUUGAAGAUAAACCACACAAGCAUGAGCAUUUCAUCUGUUUAGCAACCCAAAGGUCAUGUUUGGGGGCUGUUGAAGUCAGACUCUACCCACUUAACAUUCUGCAGUGUCUCCAAAAUAUAGUGCAUCUGGAAUAUGCUAUGAAGUCAGGGCAACUUAGCUCUCAAACAUACUGCCUGGAAGAUAGCCUUGGACUUCCUCUCUUGGACCAGUGUCAUUGCCCAGAGAAGACUCGAGGCUCAUCCUGUGAUCCCCCUUCAAUGCUCGAGGCUGGAGUGCUUUUUGAAAGCACUCCCGAUCAUGAAAAGGAAAAUCAGACUCUGAGGUUGCAGCUGGAGGACCAGGUGCUAUGGCCUCCAGAGACCUAUGGAUUCAGGAGCAGGAAGAAAGCAGGACAUCAUUCCUACGCUGUCUCUCAGCACAGAGGAGUAGUCAUUCCAAGAACUAGAAAAGCAGAAGAAGGGGAGAUGGAGGACCAAGGAGGAAGGCAACGCCUUGCUGUCUGGAAGCAUGAGCUCUGGCUGCAGUUAAGCUUUACCCACUAUGCUGCCAGCCAAGGGGCAUCCUCAUUAGACAAAGAGUUUAGCUUUAGUUCUGCAGCUCUUCCUAACCCAGGGAUCAUUUCAUCCAAGGAGAGAAAAACAACCACCCAUUCUGAGCCUCUGCAGUCUCCUUUGAGUCCUGCUGGCCCUGUGACCAAAAUGAACUUUCCAUGAAAAAAAGUUAGGCUCCCAGAAGGUGCCAAUAUAAUACCCUUGGAUUUAAAGGCUGCCGAGGGGAAGAGGAAAGGUUUCAAUAACCAAGGCAUGAGGGACUAUGAAGGCCUGGGCUCAGAACUCACACCUCUCCUUUUGGCACAGAGGCUCUCAUGGUAGGUACAAGUCAUAUCCAAGCACUGGGGACUCCUUAGAAUGUUGGUCAUGGGUAACAUAUGCUAAGCAACCUCUCACACAUGAUGCCCCUGAGAGAAGGUAAAAGGAACUCCAGGUGGGGCAGAGGAAGUCACCAAGGGAUGGCAGGAAAGAAUUCCACAGCCCACAAGCUGAAGGGCCUUAGCAACUGUACUUGUUUAGGCUAGGGCUGGCGGAACAAAGUUGACAGACCGAGCGGCUUAAAUGACAGAAACUUAAUUGGCUCACGGUUCUGAAGUCUAUAGAGGGCCAAGAUCAAGAUGUCACCAGGGUGGGCUCCUGCUGGAGGCUGUGAGGAAAGAGAUCUGUCCCUGGCCUUUCUCCUUGGCUUAUAGAGGACCAUCUUUUCCCAGUGUCUCCUGACACUGUCACCCCACCGUGCAGUUUUCCCAUUGUUAUAAGGAUGCCGGUCAUGUUAGAUUAGGGUUUACCUAAUCUGGCCUCACUUUAACUCGGUCACCUCUAUCAAGUUCUAUCUCCAAAUAAGGUCCCCUGCUAAGGCAGCGGGGUAAGGACUUCAACAUACAAAUUCUGAGGAGGGACACAGUUCCACCUAUAACAACCCUGAUGUCUCACCAAACACUUCCGUUUUAUAAAUGAGGGUCUUUAAGCCUUGAGUGGGAAAAUGACUUGCACAGGGUCACACAGCAAAAUGGAAAACCUGAGACUAGAACCCAGGUCUUUGGGGGCUUCAAGCUUUGUGUGGACUUCCCUAGAGUAACAGCACUGCCAGCUUUGGGAAGCCCCUUCUCCAAGAAGGGAACCGCAGCUUGGACAAGUCUGGGAAGCACCCAGUCAAAUCUCUUUGUAGGCCCGGCACAAGGACACACUCAAAUUCUCUUACAAACCAAUAUUUGGGGAAAGACCCUGAAAUGCCAGCAUGGAAAGAGCCCUAUUGAUGGGGCUUAAUAUAAGCACCAGGGUUUAUUUUUCAAUGGCCAGGCCCCUCACUAAGGAGGCAGAUAUGUUGUGUCAUAAAGGAAGAGCUUUUGCUCCCUGCUUGCAAGUCCCCAACAGCGCAGGUAACAGGAAUACAGCUGCGUGGUGCUGGCUUCUCACAGACUCUCCCCGACGGUCCACCCUCUCUCGGCCACUUUGCCUCAAGGCUGGCAUCUGGCCUCCAUACCUGGCCAAAAGCCUGGUAGGUCUCCAUUCUGCAAUGGUUGUGCGAACUCUAAGAAGACUCUUUUCAAAGACUCCUGCAACGUGCAGGAGCAACCUGGGUUUAGGGGCCUUGCUCUUACAGCUUCAAAAACAAAGAGGCCAAAAUUGAGAUUGAAUAUAGUACGGAAGUGUGGGUGACACCAAACCACAGAUGAGUUGAUAGGCUGUGGGCAAGGAAGUGAAAAGUUCACCUUGUCCUUCCCUCUAACGGAGGGCUGUUGGUUUUGCAGAGGUUUGCUUUUUUUAAAUUUUUUUCAUUCAAUAAAAAUAGCUUGGUGGGACAACAUAUUAUAGCAUUCGUGGAAAUAAAAACUAGGAACCACAUCAUAGGAUGUUCUGCUCCAAACUUGGCCCCGGUUCCCCAGGCAGCUCCCAGCUCCUUCUGAUUUAUGUAGCAGCCGUGGAGGCCCUCGCCCCGUCCCAGGUGGGGCCUGGCUUUCAGGGAGGAAGGGAGGAGGUGGUUCAGAGGCAUCAGCUGUUUCCCUGUGUCUGAGCCAAGACCCUCGCCUCGGCUAGCAACCCCGCUUUGUCCCCUGGGUCUGCCUUCUGCACUGUGAAAAGUUUCCAUCACAAAGGGCUGAUUCAGGAAACCAAGGUUAGAGGCAAACGGUCUUAUUUGAAAACGGGGAAGGCCAGCCAGGCUCUGGGCUUCCUGCAUUGAUUGCUCUCCCGGGGCCUGGGACCUGCCCAGCCGGGUGGGGCAGGCAGCUCUGCAGGUUACAGGAUGUGAAAGUGGGGACUGAGGUUAGGAAAAAGAAUAAAAGGCUGGGACCAGAACACACCCAGCAGAAGGCCAUGUGCAGUUCUCCUCUUCAGGGUUUCCUGUGGGUACACUGAGAACAUUGUGUUCUGGCUGUGAACUUACCCAGCUGAGUCGGCGGCUCCAGACUCAGCCCCUGGGUCCUAGUGCUGCCCCGCACUAGCCUCAGCCUCAGCUCACCUGCAUCGCCUGAAACCCACUGUAGGAACCCCCCAGAGGCCACUUCCAUUGUGCCCUCCCUACUGGGUGAGGCCCUGGUGACCAGACUGUGGGCAUUUAUAUUCCCAUUCAUCCUGAAGCAUCUUUGACUUGCUUGACUAACAGCCUUUCACAUCC
rnacentral:lncRNA from 1 species